rnacentral:tRNA from 1 species
UUAACUAAAACCAAAAUAGAGGUAAAUUAUUGUUAAUAAUUUUACUGAAUUAUAUAAUUCUAGUUGAA